rnacentral:rRNA from 1 species
ACUCAAAUGAAUUGACGGGGACCCGCACAAGCGGUGGAGCAUGUUGUUUAAUUCGAAGCAACGCGAAGAACCUUACCCACACUUGACAUACCUCUUAGGACUUUCAGAGAUGAUUGUUUUCGGUUCGGCCGGGGAGGAUACAGGUGCUGCAUGGCUGUCGUCAGCUCGUGUCGUGAGAUGUUGGGUUAAGUCCCGCAACGAGCGCAACCCUUAUCGUAUGUUGCCAGCAUUUAGUUGGGCACUCAUGCGAGACUGCCGGUGACAAGCCGGAGGAAGGCGGGGACGACGUCAAGUCAUCAUGGCCCUUACGUGUGGGGCUACAAACGUGCUACAAUGGUGGUGACAAUGGGCAGCAAAGUCGCGAGGCUGAGCUAAUCCCUAAAAGCCAUCUCAGUUCAGAUUGUAGUCUGCAACUCGACUACAUGAAGUUGGAAUCGCUAGUAAUCGUGAAUCAGCAUGUCACGGUGAAUACGUUCCCGGGUCUUGCACACACCGCCCGU